ensembl:snoRNA
UGGUCCUGGCCUGUGCUUUGCCCGCCCGCUCUGGGCAUCUGAGCAGUGGCAUCAGGCGGGACACACAGCAGCCCUCUCCGAGUCGGAGGGCCGUCCUGAGUGUCGGGCUGGCUCUCAAAGGCCCGAGAGGACAGU